AACAAGAUUGAGAGGAUUGAAAGUGAGAGUUUCUGAGAAUUGAAGUUUGAAGCGGAGCUAUGAAAGUUGCAGGAAAAUAAAAAAAUGAGUAAUGAAUGAGCCUCCCUCGAAUUUGCAGUGAAGAAGAGUUUAUAUACGAUCUUAAUUUAACAGAGUGAAAACUCUGUUAAAUCAGAGAAGCUUAGGGAAUUGUCAUGAAGAGUUUUUCCUGCAGGUUGAAUGAAGGGGUUUCACUAAGUAUUGCUAGAAAAAUGCACGGUUUAGUGUGUUCUGCUUAAAGGAAAUGCACAGGGUAUAUUUGUUCUGCUGAUUAUGCAGGUGGAAGUUAAUUUCAAUUUUCUCUUAAAGAAAUAUGUAUGUGGAUUUGUAUUGGCUUUGUUGAAUGAAUUUCUACAGGUGGAGUUCUAUAAAUAAUGUGCACAGUUCUGUUUGGCUUUGAAGUCCUUAUGUUUUCAUGGCAUGUGUUUCACUUGGUUAAAUUUGAAUGGAAUAGAUUAAUGGUUAUGGA